rnacentral:misc_RNA from 1 species
UAAACAUUUUAUUAGCAAAUUAGUGCACUUAUUCAUAAUAUUCGCCAUUUGUGUUAAUAAUGUUCAUGCUUGCAACCAAAGUGACACGAGUAUUCUAGGGAAAAUAUUUACCAAGGUUGACAAACUUAAAAAAUAUAUUAUAAAAUAAACUUGCUUGCUGUCAGACGAUAUUUACAAUACGUUUAUACAAUAAUAAUAAAUAAUGGCAGAAAUCGAAUGGCCAUGGCAAUACAGUUUUCCUCCAUUUUUUACUCUCCAACCACACGCAGAUACAAAAGCAAAACAAUUGGAAGCAUGGAAAAGUUUGGUAUUAGAAUAUUAUCGGAUCACAAAACAAGCAAUUAUAGAUGUAAGAGAAGUCCAUUCGAGUCCUCUUUUUAACAACAGUGCAAUCAAUCGUAAACUACCAUCUGAAGUAGUACUUAUAAUAUUAGAAGAGUUAAGCAAAACAGGAAACGCUAUGCCAUUAGAUAAGACAAAACAAAGGUGGUUAGUUUACUGGCAUACGUUAGAAGAAUGGGGUGAAAUAAUAUAUAAUUGGGCACAAGAAACUGGACAGAUUGGUUCCGUAUGUACUUUAUAUGAAUUAACGCAAGGAGAGGAGACAGUCGAUCAAGAAUUUUAUAAACUAGAUACAGAAGUAUUAAUAAGAUCUCUUAGAACACUUGAGUACGCUAAAAAGGCUGAACUGAUAAUGUUCGACGAUAAUCAAGGUGUUAAAUUUUUCUGAUUGGAUAUUUAUUAUCCAGAAAAUACGCAUAUUAAAAAAUUCAAUGUUAUUCAACUAUUUUUCUAAUAAUGAAAAGUUCUUAAUUAUCAUUUUUAUAAUGAAUAUUGAAAUUAUCUAUUCUAUACGUUUUUAAUGAAGAACAAGAAUUAUUUGAAGGGUACAUUAAGUUCUCCUCUGCUCAUCUUUUCGAUAAUGCAAGCUCCAAGUGCAUCGCACAUUACAUUAAUUGUAGUUCGGAAUCGAUCUCUAAAUAAAUUAAACAAUCGUUUAUAUAAUACUAUGAUAUAUAAAAGAAAAUAAUACGCACAGAUAUUUGAAAUUAAAAAUUUAAACCUACAGCAACCAAUCUACGGCAAUAAUUAGAGUGACAUCCUUCGCAGGUAAACCUAUGGUAUCCAAAACCAUAACCAUUGUAACAAGACCUGCUUGUGGUAUACCAGCAGCACCUAUACUUGCAGCUGUUGCAGUUACGCUUAAAAAAAGAUUUAAAAAUGAUUAUUUUCUAUAGAUACUUAGCAGUUAUUUUAUAAUUUCUAUUUUUCUUAAAUACAACAAAAAUAAAAUACCUAACACCGAUGACUUUACUAAGAGUUAACGAUACGCCUCUAACUUGAGAAAUAAAUAUAGCUGCAACUGCUUCGUAUAAUGCAGUUCCGUCCAUGUUAAUAGUUGCUCCAAUUGGUACAACAAAUCUUGUUAUUCUAGGAUCUGCUCCCAUGUCAUCCAAGCACUGCAGAGUUACUGGCAGUGUAGCAGUACUGAACGAAUAAAUGUAUUUGUAUACGUGUAAUAACUUUUUGCAACAAUUGCAAUACAAAUGAAUAAUAUUCA